UAAUAGCUCACUGGUCGAGUGAUCCUGCGCCGAAGAUUUCCGGGGCUAAAACUUACUACCGAAGCUACGGCAUCAGUAAUGAUGGGUAGGGGAGCUUCCCAUACGGGUUGAAGCAUGACCGUAAGGACAGGUGGACAGUAUGGGAGUGAGAAUGUUGGCAUGAGUAGCGAGAUGUGGGUGAGAAUCCCACAGGCCGUAAACCCAAGGUUUCCAGGGGAAGGUUCGUCCGCCCUGGGUUAGUCGGGACCUAAGCUGAG
rnacentral:rRNA from 1 species